rnacentral:rRNA from 1 species
UAUUUAAUUUUUUCCCGAAAUAAGAAGAGCUAAAAAAGUUUAGGUUUGGCCAUAUACUUUACUGUUGCAUAAUUAAUUCUAAAAAUUUUUUUAGGGGUGAAAAGCUUUCAAUUCUUAUAAUAACUGGAUUUAUUUGAAAUGCAUUUAGUGCAGAUAAUUGAGAAAAGAAGUAUUAAGAUUUCUUUUUAGGAAAAAUUUUCGGAUUAUCCUCUUAUUUUGAGUAAAAUCAAUAAUUUUCCUAUCUUACGAUUUAUUUGUCUUUUAUUUUCUUUAAUAAAAUUUAAUCUUUUCUUUCUCUUUUUAAGAUUUUUACUGUUUAAAUUAGUCUUUUUUAAAAAUUUUUUUAAGGAACUCGGCUUUGCUUAUUCGACUGUUUAUCAAAAACAUAGCUUAUAGGAUUUUGUUUUAUAAGUUUUACCUGCCCAGUGAAUAAUUUAACGGCCGCAGUACCCUGACUGUGCUAAGGUAGCAUAAUAAAUUGGCUUUUAAUUGAAGUCUUGAUCAAAGGUUUUUCGGAUAAGUUCUGUCUUAAAAAAAAUUUUAAUAAUUUACUAUUUAGGUGAAAAUUCCUAAAAAAAUAUCAUUAGACAAGAAGACCCUUAGAGUUUAUUUUUUUUGUUGGGGCGACAUGAUUUCAUCUAACAAAUCUUACUAAUGUGCCGACUAUACUAAGAUUAAUUAAGCUACCUAAGGGAUAACAGCGCAAUAUUUUUUUGUUUGUGACCUCGAUGUUGGAUUAGGGAAAAUCCUAACUAGUAGUUAGGAUUUUCUGUUCUGUUCGAACAUUUACCCUUACAUGAUCUGAGUUCAGACCGGCGUAAGCCAGGUCAGU